UCCAGGGUGUAAACGCUGCUUGCUUGAUGUUGGUUGAGCUUCGAGUUCAAUCAGUGUCGGAGAGAAGUUGUUAAGCAAGCUGCCUGGGGAGUACGGCCGCAAGGCUGAAACUUAAAGGAAUUGGCGGGGGAGCACAGCAACGGGUGGAGCGUGCGGUUUAAUUGGAUUCAACGCCGGAAAACUCACCGGAGGCGACGGUUACAUGAAGGCCAGGCUGAUGACCUUGCCUGAUU
rnacentral:rRNA from 1 species